rnacentral:rRNA from 1 species
GUGGGGAAUCUUCCGCAAUGGGCGAAAGCCUGACGGAGCAACGCCGCGUGAGUGAAGAAGGCCUUCGGGUCGUAAAGCUCUGUCUUCGGGGACGAAAAAGCAGGGGAGUAAUAUGCCUUUGUUCUGACGGUACCUGAGGAGGAAGCUCCGGCUAACUACGUGCCAGCAGCCGCGGUAAUACGUAGGGAGCGAGCGUUGUCCGGAAUUACUGGGCGUAAAGGGCGCGUAGGCGGGGAUUUAAGUAAGGUGUGAAAACUCCGGGCUCAACCUGGAGACUGCACUUUAGACUGGAUCUCGUGAGGGCAGGAGAGGAAAGUGGAAUUCCUAGUGUGGCGGUGUAAUGCGUAGAUAUUAGGAGGAACACCAGUGGCGAAGGCGACUUUCUGGACUGUACCUGACGCUGAGGCGCGAAAGCGUGGGGAGCGAACAGGAUUAGAAACCCUGGUAGUCC